rnacentral:rRNA from 1 species
GACGAACGCUGGCGGCGUGCUUAACACAUGCAAGUCGAGCGGUAAGGCUCCUUCGGGAGUACACGAGCGGCGAACGGGUGAGUAACACGUGAGUAACCUGCCCUUCUCAUCGGAAUAAGCGUUGGAAACGACGUCUAAUGCCGAAUAUGACUUCGGAAGGCAUCUUCUGAAGUGGAAAGCUCCGGCGGAGAAGGAUGGACUCGCGGCCUAUCAGCUUGUUGGUGAGGUAAUGGCUCACCAAGGCGACGACGGGUAGCCGGCCUGAGAGGGUGACCGGCCACACUGGGACUGAGACACGGCCCAGACUCCUACGGGAGGCAGCAGUGGGGAAUAUUGCACAAUGGGCGCAAGCCUGAUGCAGCGACGCCG